AAACUUUUGAACUGGUUGGUUGAUUAAUUCAAUUAUGUCACCAAAUCUUGCAUGGGAUAUUAUGGUGGACAUUUAUGAAUCUAUCACAGGCACCUGUUAGAAUUCAUCAAAGGCUUGAAGGAUGGUUUCAAUCAAUGAGCUCAGACCUCUCCAGAAAAAUCUGGAAUCCAGAAUAAAAUGUAGUCUCUCAGAUGAAAAUAUAAUAUGCUGCCACUUGGUUGACUCAUAUUUUAAUGCUGCUUUUCUCAUGAUCUGUUCAGUGAAUAGUGUAAGGACCGCAGAGGUGUCCUCAAAGAUGGCUGUAAAAAUUUGUCAGCAGGAGCAGAUUUAAUUCGUAA
rnacentral:lncRNA from 1 species